AGAUUAAGUUGUUAAGGGCGCACGGUGGAUGCCUUGGCACUAGGAGCCGAUGAAGGACGGGACUAACACCGAUAUGCUUCGGGGAGCUGU
rnacentral:rRNA from 1 species